rnacentral:rRNA from 1 species
GGUUAAGCGACUAAGCGUACACGGUGGAUGCCUAGGCAAUCAGAGGCGAUGAAGGACGUGCUAAUCUGCGAUAAGCGUCGGUAAGGUGAUAUGAACCGUUAUAACCGACGAUUUCCGAAUGGGGAAACCCAGUGCAAUUCGUUGCACUAUCGUUUGAUGAAUACAUAGUCAAACGAAGCGAACCGGGGGAACUGAAACAUCUCAGUACCCCGAGGAAAAGAAAUCAACCGAGAUUCCCCUAGUAGCGGCGAGCGAACGGGGAGCAGCCCAGAGUCUUAAUCAGCAUUAGCAUCAGGAGAACGGUCUGGAAAGGCCGGCAGUAAAGGGUGAUAGCCCCGUAUCCGAAGGUGUUGGUGUUGUGAACUCGACGAGUAGGGCGGGACACGUGUUAUCCUGUCUGAAUAUGGGGGGACCAUCCUCCAAGGCUAAAUACUCCUGAUUGACCGAUAGUGAACCAGUACCGUGAGGGAAAGGCGAAAAGAACCCCGGCGAGGGGAGUGAAAUAGAACCUGAAACCGUGUACGUACAAGCAGUGGGAGCCUUGAUUUAUCAGGGUGACUGCGUACCUUUUGUAUAAUGGGUCAGCGACUUAUAUUCUGUAGCAAGGUUAACCGUAUAGGGGAGCCGUAGGGAAACCGAGUCUUAACUGGGCGAAU